GAAUUCGCCCUUAGAGUUUGAUCCUGGCUCAGGACGAACGCUGGCGGCGUGCCUAACACAUGCAAGUCGAACGGAGUUAGCCCCUUCGGGGACUGACUUAGUGGCGAACGGGUGAGUAACGCGUGAGGAACCUGCCUUUCAGUGGGGGACAACAGUUGGAAACGACUGCUAAUACCGCAUGACACUUCUUGGAGGCAUCUCUGAGGAGUCAAAGCUUUAUGUGCUGAAAGAUGGCCUCGCGUCUGAUUAGCUAGUUGGUGGGGUAACGGCUCACCAAGGCGACGAUCAGUAGCCGGUCUGAGAGGAUGAACGGCCACAUUGGGACUGAGAUACGGCCCAGACUCCUACGGGAGGCAGCAGUGGGGAAUAUUGGGCAAUGGGGGGAACCCUGACCCAGCAACGCCGCGUGAAGGAAGAAGGCUUUCGGGUUGUAAACUUCUUUUAGCAGGGACGAAGGACGUGACGGUACCUGCAGAAAAAGCAACGGCUAACUACGUGCCAGCAGCCGCGGUAAUACGUAGGUUGCAAGCGUUGUCCGGAUUUACUGGGUGUAAAGGGCGUGUAGGCGGAGCUGCAAGUCAGAUGUGAAAUCCCGGGGCUCAACCCCGGAACUGCAUUUGAAACUGUAGCCCUUGAGUAUCGGAGAGGCAAGCGGAAUUCCUAGUGUAGCGGUGAAAUGCGUAGAUAUUAGGAGGAACACCAGUGGCGAAGGCGGCUUGCUGGACGACAACUGACGCUGAGGCGCGAAAGCGUGGGGAGCAAACAGGAUUAGAUACCCUGGUAGUCCACGCCGUAAACGAUG
rnacentral:rRNA from 1 species